rnacentral:lncRNA from 1 species
CAAGCACUCUACCAACUGUGCUAUAUGCCCAGCCCAGUUUUUUGUUUUGGUUUUUGUUUUUAAUGAAGCACAAAGAGUUUAAGUAACAUGCCCAAGGUCGCACAACCAAUAAGUGAUAGAGCUGGGAUUUGAACCCAGAUAUUCUGGAUUCUUCUUCUCAACAUCUCUUAAUCACAAUAAUGUCUCCCUAGAGGAAGGUUAAGAGAAACAUAGAAUUGAGGUGCUUAGAUAAUGAGUGACAGGAGCAGCACAAUGUGACUCCCUGCCAGCACCAAAGACAUCCAGCAUGCUUGUGAGAACAUUGUUUGUUGAUUGACAUAUUAAGAGACCAGGGUGAGAUCAGAAAAUGGUUCUAUUUAAACAGCAAUCUAGGACCGAGGGGAGCAAGAAAUGGUGUGAUAACGAUAAUGCUUUUAGACUAACUGAUACUACAAAGACUACUGUGUUGGCAUUAUUACUAAGGUGUCGCACUUUUUUUUUUUCCAUAUGGAGAAUCAAACCCAGGGCUUCGUGUAUGGUAGGCAAGUUAGGCAAGUGUUCUGUCACUGAGCCACAUCCCCAGUCCACAUUUCUGAUAUUUUAAUUCCCUUCAGUAUUCUGCCAAAAGUCUUAGCAAAGCGUGUUCAGUCACAAAGAUGUUGAAAGUCAGGUACAGGGAUACUCACGUG